rnacentral:rRNA from 1 species
UACGGGGGGGGGCAAGCGUUGUUCGGAAUUACUGGGCGUAAAGGGUUUGUAGGUGGCCCGCUAAGUCACACGUGAAAUCCCUCAGCUUAACUGGGGAACUGCGUCCGAUACUGGAUGGCUUGGAUUUGGGAGAGGGAUGCGGAAUUCCAGGUGUAGCGGUGAAAUGCGUAGAUAUCUGGAGGAACACCGGUGGCGAAGGCGGGUCUCUGGGACGGUACUGACGCUGAGACGCGAAAGCGUGGGGAGCGAACAGG